GGUAAGGAACUUAGCAAACGCACCCAAUCAACAAGGAAGUCAUAAGCGACAAAUUGUUGCGGGUUGUGAGGAAAGUCCGCCCACUUAGGCGCUUGUCGUCUACCGAUAUUCGGGUUUGCCCAUAAGGGUUCCUGAAAGGGAAGGCAACUUUAUAGAAACGACACGGCCAAUAGAAUUGGAAUGAUACAAAGAAGGCACAAGAAAUUGUUGCUGAGUUAACUUGCUGACGUCUCUAUUGGAUACGAUGAAACGAAAGACCUGAACAGUGCAAGCAGAAGGUCGGAUUAACGAAAUUCGCUUAACCGAAAUAUGCGCUUAGUAGAAUGUUAAGAAAAAGCAUCGCGGCAACGCACGUCACAUGACUUAGGUCUUACGACAACACGUUUACGUUUGGCUUUUACAAAAGGUGGCUUAUUCCUUGCC
rnacentral:RNase_P_RNA from 1 species